rnacentral:rRNA from 1 species
UACGUAGGGUGCAAGCGUUGUCCGGAAUUAUUGGGCGUAAAGAGCUCGUAGGCGGUUUGUCGCGUCUGCUGUGAAAACCCGAGGCUCAACCUCGGGCCUGCAGUGGGUACGGGCAGGCUAGAGUUCGGUAGGGGAGAUCGGAAUUCCUGGUGUAGCGGUGAAAUGCGCAGAUAUCAGGAGGAACACCGGUGGCGAAGGCGGAUCUCUGGGCCGAUACUGACGCUGAGGAGCGAAAGCGUGGGGAGCGAACAGG